CCUUCAAAGUUGAAAAAAAGGGGCAGCCCCGGUUUCCCCUCCCUCCGUGAGAGGCUUUUAUGGUCGGCUGGUUUUAUCAUCUCUACGGGAGGCGAUGUUUUGCCCUGCAGUUGUACAAGUCACGGAUGUGGAACUGAGUGAAAAAAAUGUUUGAAAUAAGAAGAUCCUGGUCAUGUUAGAAUAAUGUCAAAGUGCUUACAGUGCAGGUAGUGAUUUAUAAAACCUACUGCAGUGAAGGCACUUGUAGCAUUAUGCUGGCAAGCGCCUCAAAAACAUUUGAAAAUUUCCUCCACAGUGGCUUCCACACAAUAACUGCUUUUUGUUCUAAGGUGCAUCUAGUGCAGAUAGUGAAAUAGAUUAGCAUCUACUGCCCUAAGUGCUCCUUCUGGCAUAAGAAGUUGUAUUUUCUCCCAAUUACUGAACACAGAAAGUAAAAUCUAAUAAUGUCUUGCAGUCUUCUGUUAGUUUUGCAUAGUUGCACUACAGGAAGAAUGUAGUUGUGCAAAUCUAUGCAAAACUGAUUGUGGCCUGUUAUUAUCUUCGUGUCUACAUUGUGAGUUAAUUUAGGCUAUCCUUCACAGAACAAGUGAUCCUAAAUGGCUCCUGUAGCACUAAAGUGCUUAUAGUGCAGGUAGUGUUUCAUAAUCUACUGCAUUAGGAGCACUUAAAGUACUACUAGCUGAAGAACUUCAUAUUUAUCCCGUUUUCCCCUGUUUCUCCUUUUAAUGGCUGUUAAACACUGUUCUCUGGUUAGUUUUGCAGGUUUGCAUCCAGCUGUAUGAUAUUUUGCUGUGCAAAUCCAUGCAAAACUGACUGUGGCAGUGAAAAGGCAAGAAUGUAUACUAAGUUGUACCCCUUUCUACACAGGUUGGGAUCGGUUGCAAUGCUGUGUUAAAUCUGUGGUAUUGCACUUGUCCCGGCCUGUUGAGGUUGGUGGGGCAAGAAUCUGCAGCAACUUAAGUUCCCUUCUCAAUUGUUUGGGAGCAGCAAUUGCAGUAGUAAAGUGAUCAAUGUAACUUUUUACAUCUAAAAUUUUGAUUAAAUGGUUUAAUGAUACUGUAAGUACUUUUUCUUCCAGUGUUGACAAAAUGAGCUUUAAACAUAUAAAGCAAUCUGUAUAACCCAGCAUUUUCAAUAAAUCACAAGCUUUAAUAUUAAUAAAGAGGUUGUAUUUUGUGAUUUCCUGAAAUUAAGGUGAUGUGUUACUUGCCCCAAAAAGCAGUUGAAGUAAUCUGCUCAGCUGUUUUUCUAGGUUCAUCACAGCAUUCUCACCCACAUUAUCUUUUUAACAUUUAAACAUUGUGAAUAAUGCCAUUUCUUUAGGUCGUUUUUAAAGUGUAAGAUAGAAAUUAGCAUUUCAAUAUAUUAGUAUGUAGUAUUAUUCCAUGUACAUACUCCUUAUUCCAUGAUACAUGAAAGUUACAAAAUUCCUGAAAUAGACUAGAAAAAAAUACAUUAGAAAAAUAUUUGUCUGUGGAAAAAUGAUUUAUUUAUUAAAUUUAGAAGGUCACAUAAUUCCAUAAAUAUGCUGAGUGAUGUACAAUAUUAAGAACUAUAAAAUAAAAGUACAUUCACAACAGAAAACACUCAGAUUAACUUUCAGAACCUGUAAGGACAUCCAGCCUGACUCAAGAUUUCAAAGAAAAGCCAAGUGUUCAGAGACAUGGUAAACUUGGGAGCCACAUGGAUGGAGUAGUGCAAGAGAAGAUAUACUUUGGGUCCUGUCUGGAGGUACUUCGAGCAAAUUACCCUAAUAUGAACAGACUUGCAGUAUAAUUUUAAUUCCACAAAAGAAAGUGAUGCUUGUUAAAAAACAUUCCCCCUCUCCAAAAUGGGUGGAUAUAAAAGAUCUAUACAAAAGAUACACAGAGAAAUUCAAAAUCUCUUUCAGAUGAUAGCCUUUCUUGGGAGCAUUUUAUUGAUUAAUUAUAAAUGAAAUUUGAUAGGGGUUUGGUUGAUACUUCAGAUUUAAUGAAAUAUAUUUUCAAGUAUUACUAUACACAGUUUAACUUUGAAUAGUAACUUGUAAGUCAAAUCUGGUUCUUAAAAGUAAUUUGUAUUAUAAGUCAUUGUCCUAAAAUUUAACUCUGGAAUAGUUUGCUUGAUUUCAGAACUUGGACAAAUGCUAGAUGACAGGAUGGAAUUGGUGAUGCCAAGCAGGGUUGGGCCUCAUUACUCCCUGGAUUGGAGAUCAUUGUGAAAUUCCAAGGCUGGAAAUAGAAUUGGAAUAGAAAUCCAAUAUACAGGGAAUAGAAUGGAAUUCUGGCUUGUUAAAAACUUCAAUGAAGUUAAUAUAAAGUAAAAUGCAAAGAUUAUACUAAUACACAGCACAUAGAAUAAUAGGGUUGGAAGAGACCUUGGAAGUCUUCCAGUCCAACCCUUUUCUCCAGCAGAGACCCUAUACCAUUCCAAAAAAUGGCUGUCCAAUCUUGAAAGUCUCCAGUAAUGAAGUACCCACAACUAGAGGUAAGAUAUUCCACUGAUUAAUUUGUUCUCACUAUUGAAAAAUGUCUCUUUAGUUCUAGACUGGAUCUUUCACCCACAGCUUCUUGUUCUGUCCUCUGGUGCAUUGUUCUUGUCUCUGCCAGACCUCAAGUACUGAAAGACUGCUGUCAUAUCACCCCUAGUCUUUGUAUCUAGUUCUGUUCAUCAUACAGUUUAGCCUCCAACCCCCUUAUUUGUUUUUUUUGCUCUUCUCUGCACUCUUGCUAGGGUCUCAAUAUUUUUUUUGUAUAGUGAUCAGAACUGGACGGAGUAUUCAAAGUGUGGUCUCACCAGUAUAAUCUAAAACAGUACUAUCACUUCACAUGAUCUUGAAACUAUCCAUCUUUUGAUGCAACUUAAGAUUGCAUUGGCUUUUUUGACAGCGUCAGUGAAAUUUCAGUGGCCAACUAGGGCAUCACUUUCUCACUUUGUCUUCAAUCACUGCCAAUAUGCAUUCCAUAGCCCACCAAUCUCCACUCUUGAUCCUUACAGUGACUUAGAUAUUGAUCCCAGACUUUUCUCAGCUACCACCACAACCACAAUCUGCAGUUAUCCUUUCUUGGCAGAACAAUUGCAUUUCUGCCCAUACCCAACUAAAACAGCCCCAUGCAUCCACUUUUUGACUGAGGCAUGGAAGCAAGAUACUCUGUAUGAGAUGUUGUCAAUAGAGAGGUUAUCACAUAUGUAUUACUAUGUAAUUUAAGAAAAAAUUGUCAAGGUCAUUUUUAAUUGAAAUAAAUUUCCAUAGUAAUGGAAACAAUAGUUAAGCAUGCUUUGAAACUGGUCUACAGACUUCAAUAAACCAUCUACUUGGCCAAUUAAUUUGUUAAUUAGCUCUAGCAAGCACUGAGCAGAGGCUAUCCUAUUUUUGUAGCAAAGAUAAAUUAAGCAGUUUUUGUCAAGUUGCCAUUGUCCUCAGUAAUGACACAAAUUGUUCUAAUGUAUGGAUUUUAUUCUGGUAGAAUAUUUCAGCAUUUUUCAAGUUUGAAACAAUUAGCAUACUAUUGCAUGCACAUAUCUAGUGUAAUAUUUAAUGUAAUAGGUUAAAACAAACAUUAAGGGACAGAUUAAUGAAAAGGAACUUUUUAAACUAUUUGCUCAUUCUAGGAAUGAUGCUGAAACAAAUAUCACCAGCUUUGAUGAUAGUCAAAGUACCAGCAGAAUAAGUUGAUUUUUUUAAAGCAAAAUUUCUUCUAUCUGCUUAAGUGAUAAAGUACUCUAAAUAGAAAACAUGAAAUAAUCAGAAUUAUUUUGAACAUUUACCAAAUAGCCUUUUGCUCACUGCAAAGCACCAGAGGGCAAGACAAGAAACAAUGGUUGGAAGCUGAUCAAAGAGAGAAACAACCUGGAAUUAAGGAGAAACUUUCUGACAGUGAGGAUCAUUUACAGUGAAACAGCUUGCCUCCAGAAAUUGUGGGCGCUCCAUCACUGGAGAUUUUUAAGAAGAGGCUAGACAUUCACUUCCUGAGAUGGUGUUCCUGCUUGUGCAAGGUGCUGGACUAGAAGACCUUCAAUGUCCCUUUCAGCUUCUGUUCUAUAUCCUAUUCUAUUCUAAAGCAGUCUUUCUUUGUUUUUGAUCUGUGACAACUUCAUUGUACGGUAUGUAACAAAUAUGAAUAUUAAUAGGAUUUUCCACCUAUAUAGGGUUAAUGCAGGAAUCCUCCUGGCUAAUUCUGCCUCAUUAUACUUGGACUUGGUUCCAAUACAUUCUGAGACAUUCAACUCCUGUAAUAAUGUUUUUGUAAUUGCCAGAAAAAGAACUUUGGUUUCAAUGACCAGCAUAUUACUUUCAAAGUAAUUGAAAGCUACUGUUUUUCUAUAUUGCUUAUUCUGGUCUAAAUUUCUUAUAUUCAGUGGUAGUAUGACAAAUUAUUCUUUUUUUGUUUGGCAAUCCUGAAAAGGUAAGUGCCAGAUGACCACCCAGGGUGCCACAGAUCAGUUAAUCUGAGUAAUACUAGGGAUGAUCCUAGAGCAAAUCAAAGUAAUUUAUAAUACCUUGGAAACUAGAGUAAUUAUAGAUUGAAGCAUCAAAUUUAAUGGCUGAUCUCAGAAGCUAAAUAGAGUUUGAUUAAACCUUGGAUAACGGGCUGCUUUAAAUUUCGAGAGCUAUAAAUGAGAAGUCAAGCUUGAUUUGUAGGAGACUUUAAUCGCUACUAUAAAACAGCCAAGAAAACUCCAUCUAAGCCAGUGGUUCUCAACCUUUCUAAUGCCGCGACCCCAUAAUACAGUUCCCCAUGUUGUGGUGACCCCCAACCACUUAUACAUCACCGGGUGCCAGGGGCGUGGCCAAAGAAAAGGUGGAAAAAAUGGCAGACAGCCUUGUUUGGCGACCCCCGUGAAAUGGUUGUUCGACCCCAAAUGGGGUCCCGACCCACAGGUUGAGAACCACUGAUCUAAGCACUAGGAACUGACAUUAACCAAACUAUUUUUGUCUUGUAGUGGAAGCCAGCAUAAGCUUGUUGAAAAAGGUUUCCUUUGCAAUUAGUGCAAACUACACUUUAAAAAUGUGGUUAUUAAUGUGAUGAUUAAAUAGAAAGAUUGGAGAAGUAGGUUGCUGAAAACAGGGUCAUUUGUUUAUAGAAGAUGUGAGUGAUUGAUGAUCUGAUGCAGGAGCCAUGGUUUAAAGAUUCCCAAUCAUCUUAACUGUGUAAUAGGAAUUGGAGAAGCAAUGGGAAUGAUCCCAUGGAAGCAGAUGAAAGGUUAGACUGACCUAGUAAUAAGAACAAUUCAAAAUGUACCUAAUGUUAUUUUAUCAUUUAGGAUAUGAUUUCUUCAGCACAGUAUUCUUUGUAGUGGAGGAUUUGUUGACAUCCUUUAAAAUAGACUAAGUAGAUGAUUGACUUGGCCUGAAUGGUCACUUUCAGUUAAUUAUACUAUACUGCUUUGCAAAAGAAUAAACUUUUUUUCACAAUUGUGACAUACAGCUCUAAACUAUUUCUUUUUAUUUAUAAUCCAAUAAAAAUUAAUAACGUAUUUGGCAUGCUCAGCUCAGGACAUUAAUUUUAAAAAAUCCUACAGUAAAGUUUGAUAAUGAAUAUAUUCCAUUACUAAAUAUGAAUACAUUUAUCAAUCAUAAAAUAAAGGAUUAACAAAUAACUUUCUCCAAUUCUAGAAUUACUUUCUUCUAUACCCAUGCUUUGAAGUAAAAAUAUUUUUUUUAAAAAAAAAAAAAAAAACACCUUAUGCCCAUAAUGGAACAAAACUGCUUUAUAAUACUAGUUCACCAACUUUCUCUCAUCUGUGGCAGUUCUCAUUAUGUUAGAAAUUAGUUUUUUUCUGUUUCGUUCCAGGAGAUCUUUAAACUUGAACAUGUUAACUUUUUUAUCCUUAAUUCAUUUUAUUUUUGGUUAAUAUUCUGGAUGUGGAUUGUGAUAUUUUAAAUCUGAAUUGGAUUGAUAUUGAAAUAUUAAAAACUAAUACUUAUACUCAAGUCCAGAAUGAGUCGACGCAAGAUUUUGAUCCUUUAGGAAUGAAAAAUACCUGGGCCAGAGGAUAUGCCUUCUCUGUGGUUGCUGUAACACCGUGGAACAUGCUGCUACCCUCUCUUAGAGCACAUAGGAAACCAUACUUUUGUAACAGGUCAUGCUUUGAUACCUUGGUACAGUACUAAU